AUUGAACGCUGGCGGCAGGCCUAACACAUGCAAGUCGAGCGGAUGAAGGGAGCUUGCUCCUGGAUUCAGCGGCGGACGGGUGAGUAAUGCCUAGGAAUCUGCCUGGUAGUGGGGGAUAACGUCCGGAAACGGGCGCUAAUACCGCAUACGUCCUGAGGGAGAAAGUGGGGGAUCUUCGGACCUCACGCUAUCAGAUGAGCCUAGGUCGGAUUAGCUAGUUGGUGGGGUAAAGGCCUACCAAGGCGACGAUCCGUAACUGGUCUGAGAGGAUGAUCAGUCACACUGGAGCUGAGACACGGUCCAGACUCCUACGGGAGGCAGCAGUGGGGAAUAUUGGACAAUGGGCGAAAGCCUGAUCCAGCCAGCCGCGUGUGUGAAGAAGGUCUUCGGAUUGUAAAGCACUUUAAGUUGGGAGGAAGGGCAGUAAGUUAAUACCUUGCUGUUUUGACGUUACCAACAGAAUAAGCACCGGCUAACUUCGUG
rnacentral:rRNA from 1 species